ACACACACUGGUGGUCACUUGGUUUUCAGAGAGAGUAGAAUCAAAUGACCUACACGUUUUCUUUUACAAACCAAGAAUGAGGUGCUAUUUUUAAAACCAGCUUCUGGUGCUUUGAACCCAGCAAACAUUUCGCCCUGAAAGCAAGUCCUCUGCCUGAUUAAAACACAUCCCGGUGCUGAAACGUUUUUUCACGCAACACAUUCACCCCGUUUCCCAGCCACUUGUUGUUUUCCCACGCGUUUAAGGAGUAAUAGAUCUGCUGCCCAAAAUAACAUUCAAAUCCUUCUUAAAAUUCGGCAUUGUUCAGGGAAAGAGAAGGAAGGCGGGGGUGGAAAAAAAAAACCCUCCAAAAACAAAACAAAACUAGGAUCCAGCCAGAAAUCUGUCCGUCUCUACACUGCAAGGACACACACGUUGUGAACCAAAGCAUAAAAUGUGUUUCAUUAUCACAUAAAAGGCUCCCGUAGGGAAGGAGAAUAGAAGCAGGGAAUGAGGCUGAUUUGGGAACAAUGCCGCGGGGCUGCGAUGCUCUAACAGGUUAUGUUCUGUAUCACAUGCCCAUUGUUAAAUGGUAGUUUUAAACUACUUAGCGUCUCUCACUCCGCUGAUCCCAACCGAUAAGAUACAGUUCUGUCCGCAUACAUAAAAAGGAUGUCAUUUGGAUGCCUGCUUUAGAAGCAGAUCCUUUAUGUGUUGCCUUGUUCGCUUCGCUCCCUUUCCCCAUGGAUCGUGCACACACCCAGGGUGGAAAAAAACACCAACAAACAACCUCUCCCCUCGAUAUAUUUAGUUCCUCGCCACACCAAGCUCUUGCUGCUCCUGCUGGUUUAAGUAACCGUGAUCGGUGAAUAAACAAAAGUCACUAAACAACCAAAAAAAAAAAAUCUAGAUCCAAAUUCCAGGAGGGUAAACUUUCAACACCACGUCAUACUUCAGCAAAUUUACACAGAUAUUAGAGUGCGUCCCUUUCCGGUUUUUUUCUCCUUUUGAGCCAUUGUGCUUAACUGAAUUUUAUAAAGCUGAUCGAUAUCUUGGUAAAAUAUUCAUUUUUAAACUAGCGGGCAGUGAAAUCUUUGCUUUGUGCUAAAGUCAACAGUCGCACAAUUUGAGCUCCAAUAAAUGCAGCGAUGUUGCUCUGGGCUGCCUAAUGCUGGAUUGUCAUCGCCAUGUGCAGCUCAGGGGGCAGCAGGCUAACCUCCUGCUGAAAAUAAGGAAGGAUUGAUUUUCCUCUCAAUCACACCGACUACCGGUGUGAAUUCCCCCGAUUCCAGCAACUGGAUGUACUCUGAAGAUCCUGGGAGUGGUCCCAGGAUCGGCCCCUGGGUGAAGGAUCGGGCACCUCCCAUUGGGAUUAAAAACCGACACAAGCCAUUCUGCCGAAGUCAAGAGAGAGAAGACCAGGGAGAUUCUUUGUUCACAUGCGACCCGUUUUGGAAUGAAGGCUCGUGUAAAAGCAUAGCCGGCACUUCGAAUUCAGUGAAGUGAAUGUAACCGAAGCAUUCGAAGAGAUUAAAGCGCAUGAAUCCUUGGGAAGUUUGCCGCAGAGUGGAGAGGAGAAAGCUCAGGGGCUGGGAUUUGGAAGCUGUGCCCCCCCCCCACCAUGAUGGCUGCUGGGCUCCCUUUUCUUCUCUGUGCAAGUAAGUCGGCCUCACAGCAGAGGGACAAGCUGGAGUUGUAAAGGGACCAGCAGGGAAACGACCAGGGAAUAUUUUUCACUCAAUUCCCACGUUCUCUCUCAUGUCUCUCCUUAUUCCCUGGAGAGCCACCAUUCCCCCAAGCCUGUUAACCCAGGACAAUGAGUGAGAGCCUCGUCUAAUUUAAUUUUCCUGUCAGCCUAAAGAGAGCUACACUGUAAACCCUACACUUACUCACACAGAGCGGGGCUGCUUGGUGUUGCCAUUUGCACCAGAAAGACCCCCAGAAGGGACACUGGUCUGGGAACUCCAGGCUUGUAUCGGUCAAGAACCUAAUGACUUUUUCCAUUUGAAAAAGGGGCACUAAUUGCCAUUGAUCCAUAGCAAUAGUAGAUCCAGGACCAAACUACAAUAGCCGGCAUGGGGCUAAACAACAACCCAAACCUGCAAAAUAUUAGAGGGGAAAGGAAGAGAGAGAUAACAAAGGAGGAAACUGCAGAGAAGCCCAAUCGUAACUAUUCAACACAAGUGUGUCCAGACAGCAUGUGACACAACCUAGGUUAUAACGCUUCCCUCAGUGCAGAUGAUGGAUCAUUACCUCCAGUGGGGUUCAUUUGAAAGGAAUGAGGAAGAUGCCUUGGAAAUGCAGCAUUGUUGAAUUAUGCCAUCGAGGACCCGACCCUGACACACCGACGUCAAGAGCAAAACUCCCAUUGACUUGAAAUGGUAGAAAGGAUUGGAUCCCCUAGCUCCCAGCAGAAUAGCUUAGUGCUAGGUUUUUUUCUGCCCUAGUGAAUUUUAUCACUGUUUAUCCUACUCAGUGGGGGGAAAAAGGUAUCACUUUAUAGAAAUACUACUUCCAUGUUUGCUGUUUGAAUCAACUUUAGUGUUUCCAGGAAGCCUUGUAUUGACAUAUCUUCACCAUAGCCAUUCCCAGCCCUUAAAUUAGUUGAAAAUAGAAGCUUAUCAGUCUAAAAAGUAAUAAGUGGUCAGCAGCAAAGAUAUGAAUGUGUUUAUUGCCCCAUCAUCCAGUAUCUCAGCCGAGGAAAAGAAAAGAAACUGCUUGUGUUUGUAAAAAUGCCUCCUGCUUUCAUCAUUUAAAGGAAGGGCUAUCCUAGGAAAAGCAAAAGUCUUAUUAAUAUCCUUUGUGUGACUUCAAAAUGAACAGUAGGAACUUGAAUUAAGUAACUAUUUUUAGUGCACAUAUGUUUCCUUUUAAUAUCUCUGCUCUCUUCUGUACUGCAGACAUUAAUCUCAUAAAUGCUUUUUUUAUUACAGUCAGACAAAUUUCAGCCCAGACUGUUCAUUUAAUUGACAACUGAUGUGACAUAGGAUGCUUUAUGUAGUUAAUGUGUCUCUUUGUGUUCUUGGGUUCAUGUAGCAAUAUUUUGGGUAUCUCCCUGGGAAAUGAAAUGCAUUUCUAAACUUUACGGUUCUAUUCAUAAAUGUUUUUGAAAUACAUUUGACAUGAUCACCACAUGCAGCUACAAUCUCUAAUUGUAUAAUGCAUUUGCACAGCAUUUUAAACCAGGCAUGCUUCUGCAAACUACUAGAAAGGACAGCAUUUGUAGAUAUUACAGAAAUAUGCAUACACUGGUAUAAAAUGUGAUUUUUCUGUAAUAAAGCAUGCUGUUAAGAAUCCAGAAAAUUUACUAAAUACAAAAUGAAAUCUCAUAUACAUUUUUACUACAUGCAGGAUGUACGUUCUUGUGGACACUAAGAUAUCUUUACACUUCUAUGGGAGUGUGAAAUGACCUUUCUGAAGUGUGCAUACAUUACAUUUACACCCCUCCCCUCAGCCCCUACUUUAAGGCAUAUUUACAUUGCCAGAGUGCUGGAAGGGAAACUUAGUGUAAAUGAGAAUCGGGCCCAAUAUAUGUAACAGAGCAGUUCACUGUACUCUAUAGAGAUACUUCUUGGGAAGGACUUCCUUUCUAGACAUUUUUAAAUGUAAAGAUUAUCAGAACAAAAAUGAUUUCUCUCACUUCAGCUGGAAGGAAAAAAGAAAGCUGAGUAAAUAUGUGCUACAUAGAAUAAAUUAGAAUAAACGUGAUGUUUUGGCUGUGAUUCCAAUUUCAGACUGAGGGCAUAAAUAUGAAACAAGGUUAGAGUAAACCCAUUGCAAUUUAGGAUAAUGAUUAAUUGAUAUGUAUUAAUCUUCAUAUUUCUUAUUUUAAUAAUCCCAGAAGUCAUCGAUGGUGGGUAUAAACAUUGUAGAAAAUAUGUAACUAACUGAUGUUAUUGCUGCUUUAUAUAUUUCUUAUUAAAUUCCUAGAUAUCAUCUCA